GAUAUCCCCGGCGGGGCUCUCGUGUGGUCCUAGUGCUGGUGGAUCCUUGCUCACCAGCUGCCCACCCACCAGUGAUGAGUGGAGGGAGAAUCUAGUGGCCGAUGACUGAGGGACACUCUUCUCAUUGUCUAAACAUAAACCAGUUCACUUCACAACAUGUUUCAAUGAACACAAAUGUUUACUGUAUUUAACCAUAGGAAAUGCCAACAUAUGGACUUCCCUUCCUGAUGGAAAGAUCAUAAACACAGUAUAGGGAGGUCCCAAGGCUCUGUGCUGUCAUUUCCGAUUUACUGAGUCAUUGACUAGAGCACAGUUAGAAGGGGAGAGGGAUUAUGAGCGAUUGUGGAAGCUUCAGUUUUUGAAGUAGUAAGUAAAGUGAAUAACAACAUUUGUGAAUGUAUUGUGAGUUGUAUUUUUCUACAAAACCAAGAGUCUUAUCACAUCAUAGAAUCAUAAUCAUGCAGGACUUGGUAUGACCUUCAGAUUUAUAAGCAUAUUCUCCACCCCAUUAUCAAAGCCAUUACUACUGAACAGUACUGGGUACAAGAGUGUCUUCUGUGGAACUCCACUAUAUGAAUUCACCUCCACAAUGUGUGUAUCCCUGCUGGGCCCUCCAACCAGGAGGAUGGACGAGAAAGCUUGCAUCCCUAGCCCCUUUAUCUUUGCUCUGAGAACCCUGUAAUCACAGGUGAUCUGUUUAGGAUUAGAUCUGGUAAUAUCAUUAGUGUCUAUGGAUGGGCAGCAUGGGAUAGUGGUCAAGGGACCAAUGAAUCUCAACAACCUAUCUGUAAUGUCUCAGGGGCAGGCUAUAGACACGCACUAUGCCACCAUAAAUUCUGUUAUCUCUGGGUAUGUCUACACAGCAAAGUUAUUUUGAAAUAACAGCCCUUAUUUCGAAAUAA